UCGGACAUGGUGUACGGUACACCGCCUCUCUCAAUAAGAAGUUAAGGUACAUUUGACGAGGCUGCUGGGGUUCGACUCCCCGUGUCCGAC